ensembl:lncRNA
GGACGGCAGAGAGCAGAGCCAGAGGGGCCAUGUGGCAACAAAGACGGAAGCAAAGACGGAAGCAGGGGAACUGCCGGCUUUCAAGACAGAGGAAGGAGCCAGGAGACCCGGAGGGCAGGCAACUUCCAACAACUAGAAACAUCUAGGGAAUGUUCUCCCCUAGGAGCUCCAGAAAAAUUGCAGCCCUGCUGACCCGUUCUGGGUAUCUGCCCUCCCCAACGAUAUCUCAGGAGGAGAAAAGCUGAGUGCAAAGUCCCUGGAUGAUGUCCCACAGCCAGCAGACCUGCCCAGUGGGAGGGAUGCCAAGGAGUGAUCAGACCUUGAAAGGUAUUCACAGACUUGGAGAAAGUCUUUUCCUUGAAGUGGGGAUGUCCACCACGGGAAGCCUUCCACUGACGAAGAGGGGAGCGCUCCGCAGACCCAGCAGUUAGACCGAUUGUGGAAUGCAGCAUAGGAGUGAGCCCAGGACAGGAAGACAUUGUCUUGAGGAUCCAACGGCAGACUCAGGAUAUUUGGAGUCAGCAGAAGUAGACUCACAUAGAUUAUCAGGCCCAUCCGCUGCCCUUUGCUUAACUCUAGAGCUCGGGUCAGGGCCACAAGCUCCGCUAACUGAGCACUGGUUCCCUGGGGGAGAGAUUUUGCUUCCAAAACCUGUUC